AGCGAACGCUGGCGGCAGGCCUAAUACAUGCAAGUCGAACGGCUCUUCGGAGCAGUGGCGGACGGGUGAGUAACGCGUGGGAAUGUGCCCUUUGGUACGGAACAACACAGGGAAACUUGUGCUAAUACCGUAUGUGCCCUUCGGGGGAAAGAUUUAUCGCCAUUGGAGCAGCCCGCGUUGGAUUAGGUAGUUGGUGAGGUAAAGGCUCACCAAGCCUACGAUCCAUAGCUGGUCUGAGAGGAUGACCAGCCACACUGGGACUGAGACACGGCCCAGACUCCUACGGGAGGCAGCAGUAGGGAAUCUUGCGCAAUGGGCGAAAGCCUGACGCAGCCAUGCCGCGUGUAUGAUGAAGGUCUUAGGAUUGUAAAGCCCUGUCGCAGGGGAAGAAUAAGCAUCGGUAUAAUACGCCGGUGCCCUGACGGUACCCUGCAAGAAAGCACCGGCUAACUCCGUGCCAGCAGCCGCGGUAAU
rnacentral:rRNA from 1 species